GGGGAAUAUUGCACAAUGGGGGAAACCCUGAUGCAGCAACGCCGCGUGAGUGAAGAAGGUCUUCGGAUCGUAAAGCUCUGUCUUUGGGGACGAUAAUGACGGUACCCAAAGAGGAAGCCACGGCUAACUACGUGCCAGCAGCCGCGGUAAUACGUAGGUGGCAAGCGUUGUCCGGAAUUAUUGGGCGUAAAGGAUGCGUAGGCGGAUAUAUAAGUCAGAUGUGAAGUACCCGAGCUCAACUUGGGUACUGCAUUUGAAACUGUAUGUCUAGAGUGCGGGAGAGGAAAGUGGAAUUCCUAGUGUAGCGGUGAAAUGCGUAGAGAUUAGGAAGAACACCGGUGGCGAAGGCGACUUUCUGGACCGUAACUGACGCUGAGGCAUGAGAGCGUGGGUAGCAAAC
rnacentral:rRNA from 1 species